rnacentral:lncRNA from 1 species
CUGUAAGAGACUGAAAGAGUAUUACAUCUCAGUUUAGCACAACUAUUGGAAAGACUCCUUGGUUUUUGAGAUUCAAAUCUCUUUCUUCCCUGUUUAUAGUACUGAACUGUAAGUUAGUAAAAUGUGUUUCAGAGAUCAGUUAUCAAGUUUUCACUGUAAGUUUGCCUUCUGCUCAUGUGAUUCUAUUGGAAUCUUCUUCUCCUAAGGAUAUAGACCCUUUUUGACAUUUGUGCCUAAACAGCUGUGGAUAAAAGCCAUGUGGAGAUGGAUAAACUGCACAAUUAAAAACUACAGAUGUCAACUUCAGGCCUACAAAGACCAGACACUGAAAAUAUCUCAUAUGUUAAGAGGUAGACUCUACAAUUAGGGCAAUUAAAAAGACAAAGGCAAAGAGAUGCUAGACUUGAGAGAGGCACCAGGCAACAAAAUAACAAGGAUUUAUCAAGAAGAGUUAACACUGCAGAACCCAGAAAGGAAAGACCAGGAAAGCUAGCUCCCUUCCCCCACCUGACAAAAUGCAAGAGAGGUUUAGGAUCUCUGGGAGCUGCGUUUUCAGCAGAGCAGUGGCAUGGCAUGGCAUGGCAUGGUGAGCUGUCCACCCCUUGAACAUAACAAUUGUGGUAAUUGUUAACUUAUUUUCUCUUUGUUGCUCCAAGCAAGACCAAGCUAUAAACAUUCCUAAGAAAGAGAAAUACCUUACAACCGCA